UAUGAAUUUAUCCAUGUGUGCAAUAUUUCUAUUAUCUGCAUUAUAUUAUUAGUAAAUAUAUAUUAUAUAUUAUCCAUAUUAUAUCUAUUAUAUUAUUUAUGGUUUAGGCAUUGUCUUGGGUACUGGAGACUCAAUAGUGAACCUAAAAGAUAAAUCCUUUCCCUUGUAGACUUCAGACUACUUGCAAGACAAGAUAAACUAUAUAGGGCAUGAACUGGUAUGUUCAAUGGAGAAAGAUCAGAGAAAGGGGAUGAAUAGUGGAGUGUGGAUGGUGAUUGUAGUCUUUAAAAGGUGGCAAGGAAAGGCCUUCUAAGAAGACAUGUGGAAGAUAGCCAUGCAGCCACCAGGGAAGAGGCUUCCAGAUGAUGCUGAGGCCGUGAGUAGUUCUGGAGAUUAGAAGUGUAAAAUCAGUUUCACUGAGCCAGAAUCAAGGAAGAAUUGACCCCCUAGACACACUUUGCCUCCCUUUAUGCCCCUUGUGAUUACAAGUAUAACUCACCCGAGCAACUCAGAACAUUCUGCUCAACCUCAAGAUCCUUAACAUAAUCACACCUACAAAGUCUCCCUCCACAUUUAAGGAAAAGGAGGAACUGACAGCAUUUGAGACCGGAGAGGCCGAGGCACUGAGUGCUAGGUGGCACAAGGGGCAAGACUAGAAUUCAAGGCCUCUGAUGCCCAAGACUUCCCAACAUUGUCUUCUCCCGCGUUCCCUCCAGGACCACCGCCUCCUUCUGGGCGGGGUCUUGGGCUGCUGUCUGCGCUGAGUGUCCAGCUCUCUCCUUGGGUCGCACUCACGAUCUUCCCGCAGAGACGGCCACACUGCGAUCUUGCAUGCAGCCAGCAGGGGUCAGCAUUGCCCGCACCAAGGGUCGUCCAGCUGCGGCGGGCGAGAGCCUGAGCUCAGCGACGUUUCU
rnacentral:lncRNA from 1 species